ACUGCUUGAUUACAAGUUUAGUCAACCGUAACGAUGAAAGGAAUAAGUAUCUUUAUACUCCUGUUUGUGGUAGUUGGAUCUGUAGUAGGUGACUUCAACCCUUUUGUAAGUCAGUUCUACGGACAUGCAUUGAGCAUGCGUGGACGUGCUUCUAAUCUCAGUCCAUACGGAUAUGGACAGCGAUCUGGGUAUUACGGAGGAGGGUUUCCAUACGGAUUUAGUUCAGACCAGUCGAUGUCUUCGUCCAUGGAAUUUGAUUAAAACGUUAAACAUGACCAGCAAAUGACAAAGAAAUGUGUUUCUCAACAUAUUACUUCUCCUCUUAUCCUUCAGGCCCUCUCUGUUCAGCUAAUUUUCCCUAAUAAAAUUUAGCUUAAUCUUCA